rnacentral:lncRNA from 1 species
AGGAGGAGAAAAAGGUGGAAAAAGGGCAAAGUGCUGUUUUGUUGUGUGGGGCACGGGGGGUGUUCGAGUGUUUUUCCCCCCCCAGGUUUGGCAGCGGCAGGCGACAGUGGAGGAGCAAUUAAAAAAAAAAACCCAAAGAAACAGAAAUUAAGAUAAUAACGAUGAGCAAAUGAGGAAAAAUGGACCCUGAGGAUUUAAAGAUUUGAGCCAGAAAAAAAAGGGAAAUCUCAGCGGCCAGGAGCUUUUCUGCAGGGAGAUUUGAGGAUAAAACCCGCAGGUUUGGGUCAUUGGGACUCUCGGAAGUGCCGCAGUAGUAGCCUUGAACCGUCGGAUUUUGAGGGGAAAAAAAGGCAAAAAGAGGAAAAAACAAAACAAACAAAAAAAGGGGCGCUGGGUGUUUGGCAGCAAGGGAUCUUCGCGCAGAGCAAAACUGCAGGAAAUUGCCCCAAAACCGAGGCAGCGUGGACGCCCGACGAGAAAAGGCAGAGAGAGCCCGGCAGCAAAACAGCCCCAAAAACGUGUAGGAAAGUGCCCCAAAAUGAGCGGCCAGCGUGGCCGGCUCUGUGCCCCGCAGCCGCGGGCUUUUCAAGGACAGAGCAGCUUUUUGGUCAGAGCGGUGCUUGGCACCAAGGCGGGGGGGGUUGGGUUUGUGCCCGUUUUCCCAGUUUUCCUCCCCAAAAUGGCAGCGGUGUGGGCGCGGUUUUGGGGGGGUUUGUUGUGUUUUGUUGUUUUUUGUUCUCCCCCCCUCCCCCCCUUUCGCUCUCCAUUGAGGCAGCGCCGCAACGACCAGGCCUAAAACGGCCCCAAAGAGGACACUUGCUAAAAAUGACU